rnacentral:rRNA from 1 species
CCUACGGGAGGCAGCAGUGGGGAAUUUUGCGCAAUGGGGGCAACCCUGACGCAGCAACGCCGCGUGAGUGAUGAAGGCCUUCGGGUCGUAAAGCUCUGUCAGAGGGGAAGAAAUGCAGGUGGUGAACAACCAUUCUGUUUGACGGUACCCUCAAAGGAAGCACCGGCUAACUCCGUGCCAGCAGCCGCGGUAAUACGGAGGGUGCGAGCGUUGUUCGGAAUUAUUGGGCGUAAAGCGCGUGUAGGCGGUUUGGUAAGUCGGAGGUGAAAGCCCCGGGCUCAACCUGGAAAGUGCAGUGGAUACUGGCAGACGUGAGUACGGGAGAGGAGAGUGGAAUUCCCAGUGAAGGAGUGAAAUCCGUAGAUAUUGGGAGGAACACCGGUGGCGAAGGCGGCUCUCUGGACAGAUACUGACGCUGAGACGCGAAAGCGGGGGGAGCAAACAGGAUUAGAUCCCCGGGUAGU